rnacentral:lncRNA from 1 species
UCGAAUCUCACCAUUUCUUGAAUUAUCAUAUGCUUAUUGUAGUGCAUUCAAUGUAGAUGAUCAUGAUGUGUUUAGUUUUUGAAUUGGUGAACUAUAGGUUGAGUUAUCAUGUUUUGAAUGUUUGAAUGUGAAACUUUAAAUGCUCGACCCGUGAGUUAUGGUAGGAAUUAGGUUACAUGAGUUACAUAUUCAUGAUCCUUGUGUUCAUACGGUUCCAAUGGCUAUGCGUUUGUUGAUUUUGGUUGCAAUUC